rnacentral:misc_RNA from 1 species
AGAGCGAGAGAGAGAGAGAGAGAUGGUAUAAAGAUCAUAGACAAAGAUUGAAUCACAAAAGAAUAAAAGUAUGUUCAGAAACAUUCAAACCAUAUAUAUAACAGCUAGAUAUCAAAAUAUCUAAAAUAGAGGCAGAUAAAACAAGAAGAAGAAAGGUUAACUAUAAGCUAUGCUUGAAAAGCACCAUUCACGUUGUCUUCACAUCAUGGUUUAAUGAGAUAUGUUAUGACCUCUAUAAUCUAGGCAUGUUACUACUUCGAAAUUUCCACAAUCAAUGACUCCAAAACAUCUCCAUUGAAUGACAAAUCUACAGGCGUAUGCCUUCUCACUUUUUUUUGUUAUGGCUUUUAACUGAGCCUCAAAUUAGAACCAACACCUUGUCCUUUUUUUUUUUUCUUCCUUCUCUGAGUUAUCUGAGCAACCAAACAAACAACUGAAAGCAAACUUUAAUGAAAAGACUCCUUAAAACCUCAAUUGAGCUAACAAUAACCCAGAAGCCCAAACUCCAACCAAUUCGAAUUAAGCAAUUUUGUUAGUCAAACCCCUUCUUUGGAUGUCCUCCAUACAUGAAACUACACCAAGUUCAGAUUAAAAUUUCACUUUAACCCAUCAAAAGCCAACAACCACCUUUACCUUAAGUAGAGCAACCAAACUCACCAUUGUAGCACCCACAAUGAAUUAACUCUAUCUCCAUGAAGGCCACAAAUGAUAUUGUACAGCCACAAACUGUUUAUCCUUCAAAGCAACAAUUAGAACUACUACAAUCAAUGCCACAGUCAUAGCCUAAGACCAUAAUUUUUAGUUUUUUAUUGGAAUGCCUAUGCAAUCAUGCUUGCAACUUUUCGAUGUCAGAUUCUUUACUGCAUACCUCAGUUGAUUAGAUGCUUUAGGAUCGGGAACAUUUGAUUGCAUUUGCAUGGAUAUUGAAUGAGAUAAUGAGAGGAUUCAAGGGCAUAUUUUUAAAUAAAAAAAUAUAAUAUUUCAUUUGAAAACCUGUUACAUGAGAGUUUUGACCUCAUAAUUACUUUACUUCCCUCAAAAAUUGAACUUGUAAAUUAGCCUAGGACAGUAAAAAAAUUGCAUUUGUAUUUAGUUUUUUGCAAAAUUGAGUAACUAACAAUGGAAUAGCAUAAGUAAAUUAAAUCAAAACAGCUCAAUCUAAGAGUACAGACUUACACAACUUGUAUCUCUUUUUGAGAAACCAUUUAUCAGAUGCAUCAGUAGUAUAGUAUGUGCACAAAUAAGUUAACAUCGUAACACACAUAGAUAUCAUCAAAUGACAAACCCUGAUCUAGUCUAACGAGAUCCAAAUAAAAUGCAAAAAGUCACCUAAAAGAUCCAUAAUCAAACAGUAAAACCCAAGACCCAUUUGGUGGGUAUUCACAUAAAUAAUUACCAAAUAAUAUAAUGCAACAGAAAACAAAAAAAAUUCAUAACUCUCGAAAACCCAGAUAGUUAAAUUUCGCAAUAACACGUGAUGAGAUCAUGGAAAAAUAGAGAAGAAAAAUGAUUCCAGAAUAGAAAACCCUUCAAUCCGUAGAGAGAUGAGAAAUGAUUUUAUAUUUUGAGGGAAAAAAGCCGAGAAUAGCAAGUGAAAUAUCAAAGCUCGUCAGCUUUCAUGGACAACCAUAAAUAACGAAGGAGAAGAAGAAGGAGAGGAGGGAAGGUGAGGAAGGCAGAGAACCCAUACCAAUUGUCAAAUCAGUUCCAAUGCUCCAUAUCGUGCAAAAGAAGCUCACUCUAAUCAUUAUUGUCCUUUCCAAGCACUCUCCUGAUUCACUGUCAAAUCAAACAUAAAUAAAUUUAUUUGAGCAGGCAAAACAUCCAAGGAAGCUAACAGCUCAAAAUCUCGUCACUGAUUGAAGAAAUACUCUACAAACGAAAGAACAUUGCUCGAAGGAACUACUGAAAGAGGAGGAAAACGCAAAUGAAAACGGCGAACAAAUAAGAAAAACGGCGUCGUUUUGGAUAGUUAGCGUGUUGGAAGCAAAUUGGGGAAACCGACGCCGAAACGAGGAGAAAAAAAACGCUUCUCCGAA